AUACGUAGGGUGCAAGCGUUAAUCGGAAUUACUGGGCGUAAAGCGUGCGCAGGCGGUUUUGUAAGACAGUGGUGAAAUCCCCGGGCUCAACCUGGGAACUGCCAUUGUGACUGCAAGGCUGGGGGGCGGCAGAGGGGGAUGGAAUUCCGCGGGUAGCAGGGAAAUGCGUAGAUAUGCGGAGGAACACCGAUGGCGAAGGCAAUCCCCUGGGCCUGCACUGACGCUCAUGCACGAAAGCGUGGGGAGCAAACAGGAUUAGAUACCCUGGUAGUCCACGCCCUAAACGAUGUCAACUGGUUGUUGGGGAUUUAUUUUCUCAGUAACGAAGCUAACGCGUGAAGUUGACCGCCUGGGGAGUACGGCCGCAAGGUUAAAACUCAAAGGAAUUGACGGGG
rnacentral:rRNA from 1 species